UCUGGGAAGAGGAAGAUAAGAGGGCCUAAGUGUAGUAGGAAUGGGUACAUGGAGGAAAGCUUAAGCUCUGCUAUUACUCGUAUAAUGGAGCAUGAGACUUGAGUAUUCCCAAUGUCUCCCAUUCCUAUCAUUCUUAGGCGCUCCUUCCUCUUCCUUUGGUUC
rnacentral:pre_miRNA from 1 species